GACUUCCCUCGAGGCGGCGGCGGAAGCCCCCGAAACCUCCGGUGCUUGUUCACGCACUUCCAGGGACUGGCAGCACAUCACCAUCACCUCUUGAGAACAUUAUUCACAAUAGCCAAGAUAUGGAAACAACCUAAGGCCCACCAACAGAUGAAUUGUUAAGAAGUUGUGGUAUAAUACACACAAAUGGAAUAUUAUUAAGUCAUGACAAAGAAGGACAUCUUGUCAUUUGUGAUAACCUAGAUGAAUCUUGAGGACAUUAUGCUAAGUGAGGAUUGAAAUGGAAAACUGGAAAAGUUGAUUAAUUUAUGCUCACAAAACCAAGUCGAAAAUCCAGGGCAGCUAUGACAAGGUUGAAGUUCAUCCAUCAGAAGUGAAUGAAACAGAGGGGUCAACCUCCCUAAUCAUUUUGAUCGCCAGGAUAAUGAUGACUGACCAAUUAGACUAGUCAUUGAUAUCCAGCAUAAAGAUGGCCAUAACAGAUGUGAUCAUCCCCACUACAGAUAAUUUAAUGGAAAACAACAACCAUUAAUAACACACGACUGGAAGUAGGGAAACCUGGAUUUAGACUCCUGCCAAUGACAAGGAAUAUGAUCUAAAGUUAAUCACUCAAUCUUUCUGAGCCCUAGUUUCCACUUCUGUGAAAUUGUGGUUGGGAGUAAAUGACUUUCAUGUUUCUUAUUUGGCAUCAUUGCUGAUUCCUCUUCCAGCCAUGCCUUCAAGUGAUGGAGCUGAGGGUUUUCAUACUGGUAGAGAUGUCAGUUUGGAGCUGCUGGUAGCCAUCUUGGUAUCAUAAGGGGAGAAUCUACCUGAAAGAAAAACCAACAAAGAGAAAAAGUAGAGCUAUGAGUUGGAAAGACAGAGAGAUGUUACACACCAGAGGCCUUACCUGAAACUUGAACACUGGGGAGAGGCUGUUCCAAACAAAACUACCAAAGCUCAGAGCCAGAGAUGCCCUGGUGACAACGGCUUUUAAAUCCAGUCGAAACGGAGAGCUGCAUAAAGCAGCAGAAGGGUCAGCUGCAAGAGGUGCCCUGCCUCUCAGCACAGGGUAACCAGAUUCCCUGCUGUACUUGGGGAGAGACACCAGGAGCACUACCUUCAGCCAGUUUCCUUGAAUCUUCUGGGACAGAUGACCAGCUCUUGGAGCCGGAAGAAGAGAAGGGGUGUCUUUCAGAAAGAGGAGUGCCUCUCCCGUAAGCAAAGCUAGCAGAAGAGCUGGCUCAGAUACUCACUAUCCUCUUCUAUAAAUGAGGAAAUUGAGGCUUAGAGAAGUUAAGUAACUCGCUCAAGGAUACACAAAGUCAGGAUUCAGGACCAAGGUAAGGACUGUUUGGCUUCAAAGUCUCAGCUCCUACUGGGUUAAACUACCUUUGUGUCCCUAAGUUAUUCCGAAAUGCCUUUUGUGUCAGUAAGGAACGUGUCUUUUCUUAACAGCUCUUGUAAUUUCCAUCCAUGUGGCACGUGUUUAAUCACAUUUGAAAAUAAGCAAAUGGGGACUUAUUCCUACUGAUUACCACUGUCAUGGGCGAAAAAAUAUCCAUCCGCCUCAUCCUACUUGACUCAUAGGCUAAACACGGUUCUGGGACCCAAUUCCACUGUAUGGAGGAGUCUCACCGCACAGCACCAGACCAUUCUCAGACACUAGUGAGGUGUCCAGCAACUCAGCUCGGUUCUCGUACUGUCUCUCGGGGCACAGCUGCAGAUUCCACCGGCCGAGGGCUCAGUCCUACAGGACGCCCCACCCCCACCCCCCUCCUGCCCACUUCAGAUGCCAGUUGCAAGCCCAGGUUAUCAUGUUUGCUUCUGACCUACCAGCUAUAGAUUAGAGUUGACCCCAUCUCCUGCUUUGGGUUUGAUUAAUUUGCUAAAGUGGCUCACAGAACUCAGAGAAACAUUUUACUUAAUAGAUUCUGUGUUUAUUAUAAAAGAAUAUAACUCAGGAACAGCCAGAUGAAAGAGGUACACAGGGUUAGGGGCAGAGAAAGGGUGAAGAACAUCCAUGCCCUCUCCAAGGCUGCCAGUCUUCCCAAAUCUCCACGUGUUCACCAAUCCAUAAGCUCUCCGAACUCUGGAUUCAUUAUAUAGGCAUGAUUAAUUAAAUUAUGAUUAAUUGAUUAAUUAUGAUUGAUUAAUUGAUUGAAAUCAACCUCCAGCUCCUUGUCCCUCCCCAGAAAUCACGGGUGGGACUGGAAGUUCAAACCGUCUAAUCACAUGAUUGGUUGUCCUGGCAACCAGCCCCCAUCCUUUUGUGCCAUCCAAAUGUCACCUCACUGACAAAACAAAAGACACCUUUAUCUCUCUCAGCACUUAGGGAAUUCCAAAGGUUUUGGGAGCUCUGUGCCAGGAACUGGGGACAAAAUCAAAUAUACAUUUCUUAUUGUAAAUUACAGUAUCACACAUCCAGCAGUAAGAUAAGCCAUUCAGCAGCCCUGCUACCUGAAGCUAGAGCUAGAGUGGCUUGAAUCGCCAUGUCCUAAAAUAUAGUGUAUUAAUGAAAAUUUUAAGGUAUAGGAAGGUCAACAGAUCAGAAGAUGAUCACCAUUGAAAAGGUAGUUUGUUACAGUUCCCAAGAGGAGGAGACAUGCCACGCCUUGGGGGACCACACUGGGAAGCAGCAGGGUCAGUCAGGAGGCAGGGGGAGAGGGAGCAACCUUGGGCAAAAGCCUUUUUUGUGGUUCCCACGGAAGGAACAGGUGAGGCAGGGGAAACAGGCUUGGGACUGGCUAGUUGAGUAAUCGUAGCAGGCGCUGGGCUAUAGGGGCUGUCCCUAGUUGUCUGGUACAUGGCCCUGGAGUGAUUAGGGCAGGUGGAUAAUGGCCCGCAGUAUGAGAACUUGAUAAAGGAGGUGGUUGGAGUGUGAGCUCCAGAUUUGCUGGUUUGUAUUUGAAAAAUCGCAGGUGGGCAAGUUGUUUACUAUCUCUAGGAACUGGCUAACCCUGGGAGGUGGUGUUCCGUGAGGGUCAGCAAGACCCCAAGACGUCAAAACAUC
ensembl:lncRNA